UAUUGCGCAAUGGAGGGAACUCUGACGCAGCGACGCCGCGUGAGCGAUGAAGGUUUUCGGAUCGUAAAGCUCCGUCCUUGGGGACGAAGGGUGCGAAGCAUCCUGACGGUACCUAAGGAGGAAGCCCCGGCUAACGACGUGCCAGCAGCCGCGGUAAUCCGUAGGGGGCAAGCGUUGUCCGGAAUUAUUGGGCGUAAAGGGUGCGUAGGCGGCCUUUUAAGUCAGAUGUGAAAGACCACGGCUUAACCGUGGGGUUGCAUUUGAAACUGGAGGGCUUGAGUAUCGGAGAGGGUAGUGGAAUUCCCAGUGUAGCGGUGGAAUGCGUAGAUAUUGGGAGGAACACCAGUGGCGAAGGCGACUACCUGGACGAAAACUGACGCUGAGGCACGAAAGCUAGGGGAGCAAAC
rnacentral:rRNA from 1 species